CAAAACCUAUCCAAUAACGUCCCAAACUCUUUGAACUUCAUAAAUCUCUCCAAGGUUAAGGUUGAGACAAUAUUGGAAAGCAUAUACAUGUUGUGUGCAAGUAACCCUAAAGGUAUAAAUAUUAAUUUUGGAGAUCCGCCAGCUUAGGAUUUCCACUCAGCUAUUUUGGAAGUGCUCCAUUAUCCCGGAGCCUAGAAUUUUGAUAUAGAUAUUUUAAUGUAUAUAUUUAUUUAUCCAUGGGUAUGGCGGGGUCCUGUCCCGUCAUAUAUUACUGUUGAUAUUCUUAGAGGUCUGUAGACAUAUAUGUAGGUGGUAUAUAGAUGUUAUCCAGUUGUACUAGUAUGAUAUAUAUUUUGGAACGUUCCUAUU